GGGAGAGAAGCUUAAAGCAUGGCCUCCCACUGGUCCCAUAUGGACAUGGAGUAUGAGGAAGGAGUAGAUUCCAGUAUAUGCUGAAGACCAGUUGAAACAUCCAGCCUCAUGGAAUGAACAACUACUGGAUUCUUGGACCUUAUGUUCAUAGGCAGCCAUUGUUAGAUCAGCUGGACCACAGCCUGUAAGCCAUUCUAGUAAUAAAUUCCAUAUGUAUGUA